ACCUGAGGGAUAGCUCAGUUGGUAGAGCAUGAGGGCUCUUAAUCUCAGGGUUGUGAGUUCAAGCCCCACAUUGGGCG
rnacentral:tRNA from 1 species